CUUAACGGAAACACGUCUUCUGGACUCUCUGCGUGACAGUUUCCGGCGAGGAGUGGGUGUCCCUACAGGAGGUCCGGAAACCUCACCACUGUUUUCGCUGGAAGUAUCUCUGAGCCAUCCCCCCAGCUCCCUUUCCCUCAGUUCAGCUUCUCUCCCCCUGCUGGUUUCCUCUUCAGCUGCUGAGUCUCUUCCAACCUGUCUGAGCCCUUUCACCUCCCUCAGUUCAGCUUCUCUCCCCUUGCUGGUUCCCUCUUCAGCUGCUGAGUCUCUUCCAACCUGUCUGAGUCCUUUCACCUCCCUUCCUUCCGAUGGCAGUUCCCUGACAC